GACGAACCGUGCGAACGUUGUUCGGAAUCACUGGGCUUAAAGGGCGCGUAGGCGGCUUGCCAAGUCGGGGGUGAAAUACUUCAGCUUAACUGGAGAAGUGCCUUCGAAACUGGCGGGCUUGAGGGAGGUAGGGGUCUGUGGAACUUCUGGUGGAGCGGUGAAAUGCGUUGAUAUCAGAAGGAACGCCGGUGGCGAAAGCGACGGACUGGACCUCUUCUGACGCUGAGGCGCGAAAGCUAGGGGAGCAAACGGG
rnacentral:rRNA from 1 species